CUUCCAGUGGCAGGGGAGCGCGCGCAUGCGCGUUCCUGGGAACGGGCCAGAGUGCCGGAUCAAACGUCAGAUGCGCGGGCCGGGCGUGCGCGGGCUCGGCGGAGGGCGGGAAGGCUGAAGGGCGGCGACAGGUCGCACCGCCUCGCUAGGGUCAGAACUCUCAUUUCUGCAGAGGCAGAGGGUGAAGAGUCACGCCCUCUCUCACCAGAUUUUGGGCUUUCCUGUGGAGACAUCCUGGGCCCUUUCAGGGACAAUGUAUUGAGUCAGGACCUCAAAAUCUGUGUUGAUCCAUGUUUCCUUAGGGAUGCUGGUAUCCAACUGAGAAGUUUAUGGAGCACGUAUCAUGUGCCAGGCACUGUGCUAAGUGCUAGCGAGAAAUUGGUGAGUAAAACAGAAAAGAGAAAAGACAAGAUUACCAUCAUUGAACUUGGAACCUAGCGAAAUAGAUGGACAUAAAUUAUCCUGGUAAGAAAAUGAAGAGUUGCAGUUGCGAUAAGGGCUACGAAGAAUAGGUGCAUCCAUGAUGACAUAACAUGACCCAGUCUGGGGUGGAGAAUCAGAAAUGAUUCCAGCUGGAAUAUGGCAGGUGAGAGUUAACUGUAGCACUGAGUUGGCAAAGGCAGGAUGACUGAGUUGGCAAAGGCAGGUGCCCCAGAAUGAGAAGCUGUUGGUGCUGGUGGAAUGCCAACUUUAAAGCAAUGGAUUUAGGGCCACAUUCCUCAAGGCCAUAGUAAACAGGAAAGACCUUUUUGGACUACUGUCUUUGGAGUAGUCACUUGAGACCAAGACUUCAAUAGGGCUGAAAGAGAAUCUCAUCAUAGAUUGAAUGGGAGCAGAGCAUUAACUGUACCUCCAAUGUAUUAUAGUAAAACGGGACACAUUGAUUAGAAUAAUUAUACCUCUCCACGUGUAAGGUGUUGUUCAAUUAACCCAGGCCUUAAAAAUAGAUCAACUCUUCACAACUAUCUUUAUUGCAAGCCACACUCAUCCUGAACCUGUGAUGCACUUUCAUCCUUUCAUGUCUCUACACAUCCUUCCUGAGCCCCAUAGAGGCCCUGCCCCUUAAGGUCUUCAGCUGGAUUCCUAUUAGCUAGUUAUUUUAUUUCAGGUACAGAGAGUUAACUUUGCUCCUCCGUUUUCAGCACAUUGUCGUAUCAGUCCCUUCAAGGUCCUUGUUUUAUAUUAUUUUAUAUUGUUUAUAUGAUUUUUUCCUCAUCUUUCUCAAUUCCCACUCUCAUUCUUCCAGACACUAACUGCAAUAUGUUUGAUAUAGAUCCUUGAUAAUUUAAGACAGAGAAUGUUUUGUUUAUACCUCUUGCAUUUACAGAGGUGGUGUUGGACUGUAAAUCUCUAUUUCCCACUGUUUUACUUAACACUAUGUUUUUGAGCUAUACCCACAUUGCUGUGUGUACACCUAGUUUGCUACUGAAUAUGCUAUAGAUUUUAUUCAUACAUAUCCUUACUGAUGGGGCAUCUAGCUUGCUGCCAACUCCCUGAAGUCAUACUGUGGUGAAAACCCUUGGGAAUUUCUUUACAAACCUUUACCAGAACUUAUCUUGUGCUCUUGUAGAGCUUUGUGCAAACCUCCUGCCUCCUCAUUACACUGCUUGGCAUGUAGCAGGGACUCAACAAAUGUUGAAUACCUCUACUAUUGAUGGUUAGUAUACUAGAAUAAUUUAUUUAUAUUUUUGUUUUCCUUAUUGGAUUAUUAGUAUCUCCCAGCCAGGGCAAAUAUCUUUUCUAUCCUUGUGUCCCUGGCACAUUAAAAGUGGUUGAUUUCAAGGUAUGUUCGAUGAAUGAAUAAAUAAAUAGUUUUCCUCAUUGCUAGUA